GAGAGUUGAGACAGGCCAGUGUGCUUGUGUCUGUCAGUGGUGGAGGACGGAGAAGGUCUUGGCGCCUCCUCCCUCCCUCAGCACCACGGCUACAUCAUACCAGCGAUCAUUUUCCCGCUGCUGGGCCAAGGGAGACGGCUAUGACCCCCUGAGGCAAGAACGACCAUGACUGCGGCGGUGGCGGGCGUGGGCGUGGAGAUGGCGGGCGGGAGUGUGGGUGGGCGUGAAGAGCCCGCCGAACCCGUCCCUGGCCCGAGCGAAGGCGUCACCCCGCUCAUGUAUGCGUGCCAGCAGGGGCGUGACCACACAGUCAGGCAGAUUAUCCAUAGAAAGCCAUCCAGCGUGCAGGAGAGGGAUAGGACGGGCAAGACAGCGCUACACUACUGCGUGGAAAACCAGACGCUUUCAUGUAUAGACCAGGUGGUGGAGGCCGAGAAGGGGCUGAUCGGGGCGCGGGACGAGGAUGGGUACACGCCCCUGCACCUGGCCACCAUCGCGGGGAACAAGGCAGUGGUACAGUAUCUCCUGGGGCGUGGUGCUGACGUCAAGGCGGUGGAUAAUGAAAAGCAUACGGCGGUACACUGGGCGACUGUGUGUGGGGAAGUGGAGCUGCUGGAGAUGCUGAUGGAGGCUGGCGCUGAUGCUUCCACUCCUGACCUACACGGUGCCUACCCUCUGCACUACGCCGCCCAGAUGUGUGGUCCGAACAGCGAGAUGGGGAAUGACGUGCGUGUCGGCCUGCAAGUCCUUCGCAAACUCCUUCAGUACGGCGUGGAUGUGUCCGUCACUGACCACGACGGCCGCACGCCCCUCCUCUGGGCCGCCAGCGCUGAAGUGCGGCCGUCUCACGUCUACUGUCCCUCAGGAAGUGCCGAUGCCAUCCUCGCCCUCAUCAAUGCCGGUGCCAGCGUGAGUGCCGACGACAAGGAUGGCCUGACAGCUCUGCACUGCGCCGCCUCCAGAGGUCACCUAGAUUGCCUCGAUUGCCUUCUCAACUUCUGUGGCGCCGAAGUGGACACGUUAGACUCAAAUGGAUGCACGCCGCUGUUCUACGCCGUCACGCUGGGCCACGCUGACUGCACGGGCCUUCUGCUGCAUCACGGCGCCCACCCAGACAAGCAGGAUCGCAAGGGCCGCACGCCGGCGCACUGCGGGGCCGCCAAGGGACAGCUGGAGACCCUGAAGCUGCUCCACCACAAGGGCGCUGACCUGUGGAAGCGUAACGUGAAGGGCGACUUACCACUACACGAGGCCUGUCAGUCCGGGCGGCGUGAUCUGGUUCUGUGGCUGCUGUCCAUGCGUCCAGACACCGUGAACGCCCCGAACCUGGAUGGCCGGUGUCCGCUUCACAUCGCUGCCAUCAACAACAAUAUCGAGAUGUGUAAAAUUCUCAUGGAUAAGCAGGCAGCAGUCAACCCUAUCAUGAGAAACUCCCGGGGACAGCUGCUCACCCCACUGGACGCCGCAGUGGCCCGCAGUAACCGAGGCUGCGCGAAGUACCUGCAGCUCCACGGUGGCAUGGCGGCCUCCAAGCUGACAGACAAACACGCCCUGCAGAAGGCGAUGCAGAGGGCGCUGGAGACGAGUCAGCAGGGCAGCAGGGAGCAGGAGGGGGAGGAACUGAUGAGCUCUUCCGCCUCCUCCGUGCACAAGUCUAAUAGGUCCACCAUGACCGCUUCUCCUGUCAACAUGGACGCUCAGACGGAGACCACAGGAGGCGCUGGCGGUGUGGACGGGAUGAAAGAUGCGCAGGAGCCGGGCUUCAGUGACGGGCUGGCCGUGGGACGUGAGUCGGACGUAGAUGGACUGACGGACCCGGAGCGACACACGGAGGACGAGGAGAAUGCGGAGGCGGGGCGGCGGAAGUCACGCACCCGCCGGCGGAAAGAGAAGCACCGCGGCAGGAGCGGCGAGGAGCAGCUCGCCAGCGGCCAGGUGAGGGACGGAAAGGUGGAGAGCAUGGAAAGCAGUCUGCGGAGGAAGGGGCGCAAGAUGGCAUCCCCUUCCACUGAGGUGUCCAUUACCCAGGCUAUGCAGAAUACAAUGAGGAAGUACGCUCUGGAACGCCGCCUCUUCCAGCAACUCUUGGAACUAAAGCGAGCGCAAAUCAGGAACUCUCGCGCUAAUGAACACGUGCUGAUCAAGAGAAUGGUGGACGUUUUUCACAAGGAGGGCAUGUUACUCGGCCUCCGCGGCUACUCUGGUCCAUACAAUUUCAACAGCUACGAGAAAUAUCUGUAUGAUCAGCUACGGUUCCUGCAGAGUUCCCAGGGCAUAAAGAUCCCCGCCUUCCGCCCUACUGACGAUGUAGAGAAGCUGAGUCGAGCUAUACGGAGGGCGGAGAUCAAGGAGUUACCAGAUCCUCUACAGAACAACAUGGACGCCCACACUUGUAACCACACCACCCACAGAUGCCACCACGCCGCCCACGCCUACACCGGCAUACCCUGCGCCGCCUACAAUCCCGGGCACUCAGACGGGGGGCGGAGGAGGGGGCGGAUCUCCUCUAGGUGGCUCCCCCGCGCAGGGCCUGGAGGGGGGAAUCGGGGGGCGAGUGAAGCAGGGGGAACCGGUGGGGCUGAGAAACUAUGAUCCCCGAAACCCUUUGACUGUUGAAUUGCAGCACGGACAGGCCCGCCAGCAGAUAGUCCUGCCCACUGACCUUUUGGAUAAGAACAAGAAAUACCAUCUCACCUUCACCAUUAAGCCAUCAAGUUCCAAGAUCAAAGAACAGACAUCCUUGGAGACCGACCC
rnacentral:misc_RNA from 1 species